UCUUUUCCCAAAUUCUCCUAAGCUCUUCCUGACCCACAACAAUAUCGGGCCGCUCUAGCACUGUGGUCACAUGGAGAAACCAGCUGCAGGACUGCAAGGCGCCGUCGGCUCCCUGCUCGAUGGCAGCUGCCCUCCUCUGAGCCUCGCACAGGGGCUGCAGCAGCAGAUAUCUUACCCUGGCAAAAGGAAACCAUUAGAGGACAGCAAGGACAUGUGAGAACUGCCAGGACCCAGGGAAAGAAUAGCUACAGCUCCCACCCCGCUUCCCUUCCUGGCGUCCUUGGCUGCAGAGCGCCCUGAUGUGCAGCUCACUGCGGCAGCAACACACUGGUGCUGCUGCGUGGCACCUGCAGGACCUCCGCAGAGGCCGGGGCUGAGCUCGCUACUCUGUCUUGUGUCCCGGCUGCCUGUCCUAGCAAGGGUAAAAUACCUGGUGAUUCGGCCUGAGGCUGGGAGAAGGGCGAUGUGCAGCAGCUGCCGUGAGGAUGUUGGGACGCAAGAAGAACCAGUCCAGGCUCUUCUCGCAGAUAGCAUCUGGCAUGCAGCAGCGCAAGCCCUCUGCUGCCUCUUUAUCCAAACACUUGGCAAGCGGACAGGACCUAGAUGGAUUUGGCUGGACUUGAUGCCUCAUAAGUAGCUGGAAUGGCUCGCUCUGCUCUGUUUAUUUGUGAGCUCCCGUUUUUGGGUGAGACUCGUGCAAUUCUCCAAAUUGGAAGUGGAUGGGUUCAGCCCAGCACAUCGCCUCUGCCAGGGGAGCGAUCUCGGCUCAUCUGCUACUGUGCAAGGCUGGGGCAGGCGCUGCCCUUUGGGGAAAGGGCACCAGGGAGGCUUUUUUUUCACUGCUGUGGCUGCACAUGGGAGAGGGGCCCCGAAGGCACCACCAACCUCUACCGGCCAAGGCCAAUGGCUCACUUACGUCCAUGGCUUGCACCCUUCGGAUGGAGACAGGCAGCACCAAAGGGGUUUGCGGAGCAGAAGCUGUAGCACAAAGAGCGAAAUAUCACCUUCCCCUAACAAAUAGCCGAGAUGGGAACCGGUCACCCUCCGCAGCCAGCCUGGUAAUCCCCUCGCUGCCGGAGCCUGCAGAGUUUGCAUGCCCAUUCCCAGGCCUGCCCCUUCUGUCAAAGCCAAUUCCUGCCCCUCUGCAGGCUCAUCCCGCCCUCAGCUCCUUCUUCUUCAUUAACCAGCCUGGCAGUCCAGCGGGGAAGGUCCCCGCGGUUUCCUGAGCCUGCCUGGGGUUUACAGUACCCCUUCGUGUUGGAUCCGAAGCCGUCGAUGCCCAGAAGAGUAUCUCAGCCCGUGUCCUGAACGGCCUGAGACGCACAAAGCGCAAAACCAGACAUCUGCAAUCAGCACCAAAGGCACUCACUUGGAGCACCUGCAGGUUUUUCUUUCUUCAGUUCCGGGGAUGAGCUGUAAAAUAAAGGCUCGAAAAUUAAUUACCUAAAAGAGUGA
rnacentral:lncRNA from 1 species